rnacentral:rRNA from 1 species
GAUGAACGCUGGCGGCGUGCCUAAUACAUGCAAGUCGAGCGAACAGACGAGGAGCUUGCUCCUCUGACGUUAGCGGCGGACGGGUGAGUAACACGUGGAUAACCUACCUAUAUGACUGGGAUAACUUCGGGAAACCGGAGCUAAUACCGGAUAACAUGUUGAACCGCAUGGUUCAACAGUGAAAGACGGUCUUGCUGUCACUUAUAGAUGGAUCCGCGCCGCAUUAGCUAGUUGGUAAGGUAACGGCUUACCAAGGCAACGAUGCGUAGCCGACCUGAGAGGGUGAUCGGCCACACUGGAACUGAGACACGGUCCAGACUCCUACGGGAGGCAGCAGUAGGGAAUCUUCCGCAAUGGGCGAAAGCCUGACGGAGCAAUGCCGCGUGAGUGAAGAAGGUCUUCGGAUCGUAAAACUCUGUUAUUAGGGAAGAACAAAUGUGUAAGUAACUAUGCACGUCUUGACGGUACCUAAUCAGAAAGCCACGGCUAACUACGUG